CCCGGAUGUCCCUCAGGGCGGCGGUGAGGUCUGGACGGGCCUGCUGGGUCUCCACCUCAAACUUCAUCUGCUGAGUCUGGUGACUCACCUGCACGUCCUGGAUCUCCUGCAGAGAACAGGUAACUCACCUCAUCAUGGAGCUUCUUAAGGAACUCGAUCUCAUCCAUCAACGAUUCGAUUUUCCUCUCCAGCUCCAGACGAGACAGAGUGGCGUCGUCCACAUCCUUCAGAGAGAUAAUGCACUCCAUUAUUUAAUCGCAUUUAUUGGUUUUAUACCGCAUUAGCAGAGGUCACUGCAGUGUACACAAAGUGUAAUGAUGUCAUGUCUGGACAUUCAGUAGACCCAUUGUUAACAUGUGAAGUGACACAGGCAUGAAAGGAGAAUGUGAUGGUCAUAUUUUCUUUUCUUAGAAGCUUAGUUUCUUUAAUGUUGUGCUUCAGCAAAAAAACAUUUUGUUGUCA